rnacentral:snRNA from 1 species
ACACAUAAAUGUUUAAAAAGACCGUGAUCAUGAAGGUGGGUUUCCCACGUCAAAGCUUACCCAUUGUACUCCAGAUGUGCUGCCCGCUAUGAUUUCCCCAAAUGUCAGAAACUCAACUGCAUAAUUUGUGGGACUGUGUUCAUGCCCUCCCCUA